AUUGAACGCUGGCGGCAGGCCUAACACAUGCAAGUCGAGCGGAUGAAGGGAGCUUGCUCCUGGAUUCAGCGGCGGACGGGUGAGUAAUGCCUAGGAAUCUGCCUGGUAGUGGGGGAUAACGUCCGGAAAUGGGCGCUAAUACCGCAUACGUCCUGAGGGAGAAAGUGGGGGAUCUUCGGACCUCACGCUAUCAGAUGAGCCUAGGUCGGAUUAGCUAGUUGGUGGGGUAAAGGCCUACCAAGGCGACGAUCCGUAACUGGUCUGAGAGGAUGAUCAGUCACACUGGAACUGAGACACGGUCCAGACUCCUACGGGAGGCAGCAGUGGGGAAUAUUGGACAAUGGGCGAAAGCCUGAUCCAGCCAUGCCGCGUGUGUGAAGAAGGUCUCCGGAUUGUAAAGCACUUUAAGUUGGGAGGAAGGGCAGUAAGUUAAUACCUUGCUGUUUUGACGUUACCAACAGAAUAAGCACCGGCUAACUUCGUG
rnacentral:rRNA from 1 species